rnacentral:rRNA from 1 species
CCUACGGGGGGCAGCAGUGAGGAAUAUUGGUCAAUGGCCGAGAGGCUGAACCAGCCAAGUCGCGUGAGGGAAGACGGCCCUACGGGUUGUAAACCUCUUUUGUCGGGGAGCAAAGCGAGUCACGUGUGACUCAUUGAGAGUACCCGAAGAAAAAGCAUCGGCUAACACCGUGCCAGCAGCCGCGGUAAUACGGAGGAUGCGAGCGUUAUCCGGAUUGAUUGGGUUAAAGGGGUGCGCAGGCGGGGGUGCAAGUCAGCGGUGAAAUUGAGGGGCUCAACCCCGUACUGCCGUUGAAACUGCAUCCCUUGAGUGCGCGAGAAGUAUGCGGAAUGCGUGGUGUAGCGGUGAAAUGCAUAGAUAUCACGCAGAACUCCGAUUGCGAAGGCAGCAUACCGGCGCCCAACUGACGCUGAAGCACGAAAGCGUGGGUAUCGAACAGGAUUAGAUACCCUUGUAGUC